rnacentral:pre_miRNA from 1 species
UUAGUACUCCCUCCGUCAGGAAAUACUUGUCCUAGAGAUGAAUGUAUCUAGACUUAUUUUAGUUAUAGAUACAUCCAUUAUAUCCAUUUCUAGGACAAGUAUUUCCGGACGGAGGUAGUACAAC